UGUUUUCCUAGAUAGGUUACAGGAUAUUUGAAGUAAUGACUGCCUUUUAAUCAUCAUUAUAUCUCCAGCACACGCAAUAAUGUCUGUAGAUGCUCUAUAGUGAUUGAAUCAAUUCAUGACUAUAGACUGAGGUAUUUAGAGAGCUAUGAAAGGAUCUAAAAAUUCACCCUACUCAAAAAUAGCAACCAAUAAACCCAUCAAUCUUAACAGCCUCCUGGUAAUAUAUAAUUUUAAUCAAAUUGGGUAACAUUUUAGCAGCCAGAAUUUGCUUAUAUGUUUAGCUGAGUAAAAUCCUUUUUACAAUUAUCAUCUCCUAGUAGAAAGUGAAGACUUAAAGUAAAAAGAAAAAUGGAGGUAAGUGGCAAUGGAGACAGGGAAUUGAGAAAAGAUUGAUAAUGUGGCUGCCAGAGAUGAUGAGAGGGCUGGAUUGGGAGCAUUGAUGGAGGGUGUAGGAUAGAGAAUGCCAUACAGGAUUUGUACCAGGUAUUUUUUUAAUCCACCCAAAUCACUCCUGCACUCUGUUCUUUGUCCCCAGAGGAUGAGCUGUAUGAAUUAUAGCAGUAAGUGCCUCUGUCUUCUGAUUUCAGGUUGAGGAUCCCAACAGAAAACUGGAGGGAGGGAAGAGAGCUAGUUCAGGGGAUUUAUUCCCUGGUUCUAUCCUUGUAAAACUGCCCUUCUCUCAAGGUGGCCAACUCUAUUCUCUCUUCUUCUGGGUUUUGAUGGCUAUUCCUUUUCCUUGUGCAUUUAGGCCUACAAUCAUAACAGCCUUGUUGCUGCUAGCCCUGGGUUCCUAUACUUCUGGGUCACCUAUAUCCCACCCAUUCCUUAUAGUAUACAACCAUGACCCUCACUGAUACACAAGUUAUUCAUCAACCUUUUUGCCCACAGAUCCGACCUUCGUGCACUACAAACAAGACUAAAGAACUUUAUGAUCUAUUCCGUCUCCUUUGUUCUUGACCUAAGAGAUCUGAUGGGUCCAUCCCUGGGCCACAUUGACUUCUCCCACAUGAAUAGACUUGGCAAUCUCAAUUGGAAAGUCUUAUAUUUCAAGACUAAGAACUGGAAUUUCAUUGGUUAA
rnacentral:lncRNA from 1 species